rnacentral:rRNA from 1 species
CUGUACAGUUCAAGUUUGAUCCUGGCUCAGAACGAACGCUGGCGGAAUGCCUAACACAUGCAAGUCGAACGAGACCUUCGGGUCUAGUGGCGCACGGGUGAGUAACGCGUGGGAAUCUGCCUUGGGGUACGGAAUAACUCAGGGAAACUUGAGCUAAUACCGUAUGAUGUCGUGAGACCAAAGAUUUAUCGCCCUGAGAGGAGCCCGCGUCAGAUUAGCUUGUUGGUGGGGUAACGGCCCACCAAGGCGACGAUCUGUAGCUGGUCUGAGAGGAUGAUCAGCCACACUGGGACUGAGACACGGCCCAG